rnacentral:rRNA from 1 species
GUGGGGAAUAUUGGACAAUGGGCGAAAGCCUGAUCCAGCCAUGCCGCGUGUGUGAAGAAGGUCUUCGGAUUGUAAAGCACUUUAAGUUGGGAGGAAGGGCAGUAAGUUAAUACCUUGCUGUUUUGACGUUACCGACAGAAUAAGCACCGGCUAACUUCGUGCCAGCAGCCGCGGUAAUACGAAGGGUGCAAGCGUUAAUCGGAAUUACUGGGCGUAAAGCGCGCGUAGGUGGUUUUGUAAGUUGAAGGUGAAAUCCCCGGGCUCAACCUGGGAACUGCCUCCAAAACUGCAUGACUAGAGUACGGUAGAGGGUAGUGGAAUUUCCUGUGUAGCGGUGAAAUGCGUAGAUAUAGGAAGGAACACCAGUGGCGAAGGCGACUACCUGGACUGAUACUGACACUGAGGUGCGAAAGCGUGGGGAGCAAACAGGAUUAGAUACCCUAGUAGUCC